CUAACUUAGACACGGCCGACGUGGGUCAGAGUGUACAAACUGUUCUUAUCAGCUUAAUAUGUGAAACGGGUUCUAUUCAACGAUAUUAAACUUAUUUUUGCUAGCUGGCGGAGUGCUUGAAGCGCACUUCACCCUCGCUGCGGGUCGACGCGGUAUUGCACUAUCUCCGGGAUCGUCCCACGGUUU